AGAGUGAACGCUGGCGGUAGGCCUAACACAUGCAAGUCGAACGGCAGCACAGUGGUAGCAAUACCAUGGGUGGCGAGUGGCGGACGGGUGAGGAAUACAUCGGAAUCUACCUUUUCGUGGGGGAUAACGUAGGGAAACUUACGCUAAUACCGCACACGCCCUUCGGGGGAAAGCCGGGGAUCGCAAGACCUGGCGCGGAUAGAUGAGCCGAUGUCGGA
rnacentral:rRNA from 1 species